ACAUGCAAGUCGAACGAUGAAGCCUAGCUUGCUAGGUGGAUUAGUGGCGCACGGGUGAGUAACGCAUAGAUAACAUGCCCUUUAGUUUGGGAUAGCCACUAGAAAUGGUGAUUAAUACCAAAUACUACCCUACGGGGGAAAGAUUUAUCGCUAAAGGAUUGGUCUAUGUCCUAUCAGCUUGUUGGUGAGGUAAAGGCUCACCAAGGCUAUGACGGGUAUCCGGCCUGAGAGGGUGAACGGACACACUGGAACUGAGACACGGUCCAGACUCCUACGGGAGGCAGCAGUAGGGAAUAUUGCUCAAUGGGCGCAAGCCUGAAGCAGCAACGCCGCGUGGAGGAUGAAGGUUUUAGGAUUGUAAACUCCUUUUGUCAGAGAAGAUAAUGACGGUAUCUGACGAAUAAGCACCGGCUAACUCCGUGCCAGCAGCCGCGGUAAUACGGAGGGUGCAAGCGUUACUCGGAAUCACUGGGCGUAAAGAGUGCGUAGGCGGGGUUGUAAGUCAGAUGUGAAAUCCUAUGGCUUAACCAUAGAACUGCAUUUGAAACUGCAACUCUGGAGUGUGGGAGAGGUAGGUGGAAUUCUUGGUGUAGGGGUAAAAUCCGUAGAGAUCAAGAGGAAUACUCAUUGCGAAGGCGACCUGCUGGAACAAUACUGACGCUGAUUGCACGAAAGCGUGGGGAGCAAACAGGAUUAGAUACCCUGGUAGUCCACGCCCUAAACGAUGGAUGCUAGUUUGUUGGGGGGCUUUGUCCUUCCCAGUAAUGCAGCUAACCGCCUUAAGCAUCCCGCCUUGGGGAGUACCGGUCGCAAGAUUAAAACUCAAAGGAAUAGACGGGGACCCGCACAAGCGGUGGAGCAUGUGGUUUAAUUCGAAGAUACACGAAGAACCUUACCUAGGCUUUGACAUUGAAGGAAUCCCCUAGAAAUAGGGGAGUGUCUAGCUUGCUAGACCCUGAAAACAGGUGCUGCACGGCUGUCGUCAGCUCGUGUCGUNAGAUGUUGGGUUAAGUCCCGCAACGAGCGCAACCCUCUUUCUUAGUUGCUAACAGGNUAUGCUGAGCUCUCUAA
rnacentral:rRNA from 1 species